UAACGGCGAGUGAAGCGGCAACAGCUCAAAUUUGAAAUCUGGUCCCUAGGGCCCGAGUUGUAAUUUGUAGAGGAUGCUUUUGGUGAGGUGCCGCCCGAGUUCCCUGGAACGGGACGCCACAGAGGGUGAGAGCCCCGUCUGGCUGGCCGCCGAGCCUCUGUAAAGCUCCUUCGACGAGUCGAGUAGUUUGGGAAUGCUGCUCAAAAUGGGAGGUAUAUGUCUUCUAAAGCUAAAUAUUGGCCAGAGACCGAUAGCGCACAAGUAGAGUGAUCGAAAGAUGAAAAGCACCUUGAAAAGAGGGUUAAAUAGUACGUGAAAUUGUUGAAAGGGAAGCGCUUGUGACCAGACUUGGGCGCGGCGGAUCAUCCGGGGUUCUCUCCGGUGCACUUCGCCGCGUCUAGGCCAGCAUCAGUUCGUCGCGGGGGAAAAAGGCUCCGGGAACGUGGCUCCUCCGGGAGUGUUAUAGCCCGUUGCAUAAUACCCUGCGGUGGACUGAGGACCGCGCAUCUGCAAGGAUGCUGGCGUAAUGGUCACCAGCGACCCGUCUUGAAACACGGACCAAGGAGUCGUCUUCGUAUGCGAGUGUUCGGGUGUCAAACCCCUACGCGUAAUGAAAGUGAACGCAGGUGAGAGCUUCGGCGCAUCAUCGACCGAUCCUGAUGUUCUCGGAUGGAUUUGAGUAAGAGCAUACGGGGCCGGACCCGAAAGAAGGUGAACUAUGCCUGUAUAGGGUGAAGCCAGAGGAAACUCUGGUGGAGGCUCGCAGCGGUUCUGACGUGCAAAUCGAUCGUCAAAUAUGG
rnacentral:rRNA from 1 species